rnacentral:rRNA from 1 species
UACGAAGGGGGCUAGCGUUGUUCGGAAUCACUGGGCGUAAAGCGCACGCAGGCGGGUCGUUAAGUCAGGGGUGAAAUCCCGAGGCUCAACCUCGGAACUGCCUUUGAUACUGGCGACCUUUGAGUCCGGGAGAGGUGAGUGGAACUCCGAGUGUAGAGGUGAAAUUCGUAGAUAUUCGCAAGAACACCAGUGGCGAAGGCGGCUCACUGGCCCGAUACUGACGCUGAGGCACGAAAGCGUGGGGAGCAAACAGG